rnacentral:rRNA from 1 species
CAGAGUUUAUCCUGGCUCAGGAUGAACGCUAGCUACAGGCUUAACACAUGCAAGUCGAGGGGCAGCAUGUUGGUUGCUUGCAACCAACGAUGGCGACCGGCGCACGGGUGAGUAACGCGUAUCCAACCUACCCUUGUCCAUCGGAUAACCCGUCGAAAGGCGGCCUAACACGAUAUGCGGUUCACAGCAGGCAUCUAACGUGAACGAAAUGUAAAGGAGAAGGAUGGGGAUGCGUCUGAUUAGCUUGUUGGCGGGGUAACGGCCACCAAGGCUACGAUCAGUAGGGGCUCUGAGAGGAAGGUCCCCCANAUUGGAACUGAGACACGGUCCAAACUCCUACGGGAGGCA